rnacentral:rRNA from 1 species
ACACGUAGGAGGCGAGCGUUAUCCGGAUUUACUGGGCGUAAAGCGCGUGCAGGCGGCUUGGCAAGUUGGGCGUAAAAUCUUCUGGCUUAACUAGGAGGGGACGUUCAAGACUGUUGAGCUUGAGUGCAGGAGAGGGAAGCGGAAUUCCCGGUGUAGCGGUAAUAUGCGCAGAUAUCGGGAGGAACACCAGUGGCGAAGGCGGCUUUCUGGCCUGUAACUGACGCUAAGACGCGAAAGCUAGGGGAGUGAACAGGAUUAGAUACCCUGGUAAUCCUAGCUGUAAACGAUGGAUACUAGGUGUGGGAGGUAUUGACCCCUUCCGUGCCGAAGCCAACGCGUUAAGUAUCCCGCCUGGGGAGUACGGCCGCAAGGCUAAA